ensembl:lncRNA
CGGUGCCCUAGGUGACAUUGUGAAGUAGGCAAAAGGCAUUUUAUUCAUCCAAUAAGACCUCUGUUGAGCCCACCUUGUGCGUCCGGUACAGCUGGUAUAAAGACCACUAAGACCACGGUCUACAGCAGGCCAGGAGCGACAAAGCCCUACAAAUAAACAGGCACCGGAAGUUGCCAUCAGUGCUGUAACAGAGCCCUGCUUACCUAUGAUUGCAUCCACCUGGGGACCAAGGCACCGCCUUCUCCAUCUUUCUUCUGAGCUUAACCGAGAGUCUCCCUUUCCAUGGUGCCAAUAAUACCUAAGUCCGGGCAUCUCCUCCCUGUGCUCUUUCAGCAAUCAGCAGAUGACUUCUCUUAAACACAGAUGCUCUCAAGCCUGAACUCAUCAAUCUACGGGCCCUGGUCCUGGAGGUUAAAACUUUAUUGAGUCUUCACUCAAUAAAGGCAAUUUGAUUGAAACACUGUGUCAACAAGAAUUACCUAACAGAAGUCAAGUUGCAUUAAAAAAAAAAAAAAAAAAAACCACAAUGGCUAUUUUCAUUGCCAAAUAAAUUGAGCAAUGAUUUUUCUACAUCCUGGCAACUCCUCU